GGCCCCAUCGUCUAGCGGUCUAGGACAGUAGGUUUUCAGCCUGCUUACCGCGGUUCGAAUCCGCGUGGGGUCA
rnacentral:tRNA from 1 species